rnacentral:rRNA from 1 species
AGUGAACGCUGGCGGCGUGCCUAAUACAUGCAAGUCGACGGUAGUGGCGCACGGGUGAGUAAUAUAUCGCUCCUCUGCCCCUUGCUGGAGGACAACAGUUAGACAUGACUGCUAAUACUUCAUAGCAAGGGAUGAGACUAUCUCGUAGCCGCUGGUCGGUGGGGUAACGGCCAACCGAGGCUAUGACGCGUAACUGGUCUGAGAGGAUGAUCAGACACAUUGGAAGUGAGACACGGUGCAAACUCCGACGGGAGGAGGCGGUAGUGAAGAUUGCGCAAUGGGAGAAACCCUGAGGCAGCAACGCCGCGUGGAGGAUGACACUGUUCGGAGCGUAAACUCCUUUUGUUAGGGAAGCGGUACCGAACGAAUAAGCACCGGCUAACUCCGUGCCAGCAGCCGCGGUAAUUA